rnacentral:rRNA from 1 species
UGGGGAAUAUUGCACAAUGGGCGCGAGCCUGAUGCAGCGACGCCGCGUGCGGGAUGGAGGCCUUCGGGUUGUAAACCGCUUUUGUUCAAGGGCAAGGCACGGCUUCGGGCCGUGUUGAGUGGAUUGUUCGAAUAAGCACCGGCUAACUACGUGCC